CACGGUAAACGAUGGAUGCCCGCUGUUUGCGAUAUACUGUGAGCGGCCAAGAGAAAUCGUUAAGCAUCCCACCUGGGGAGUACGCCGGCAACGGUGAAACUCAAAGGAAUUGACGGGGGCCCGCACAAGCGGAGGAACAUGUGGUUUAAUUCGAUGAUACGCGAGGAACCUUACCCGGGCUUGAACUGCAGGAGAACGAUACAGAGAUGUUGAGGUCCUUCGGGACUCCUGUGGAGGUGCUGCAUGGUUGUCGUCAGCUCGUGCCGUGAGGUGUCGGCUUAAGUGCCAUAACGAGCGCAACCCUUUUCGUCAGUUGCCAUCAGGUGAAGCUGGGCACUCUGGCGAUACUGCCACCGUAAGGUGUGAGGAAGGUGGGGAUGACGUCAAAUCAGCACGGCCCUUACGUCCGGGGCUACACACGUGUUACAAUGGGGAGUACAGAGAGUCGGCCGCACGCAAGUUCGGUCUAAUCAAGAAAGCUCUCCUCAGUUCGGAUUGGGGUCUGCAACCCGACC
rnacentral:rRNA from 1 species